UACGAAGGGGGCUAGCGUUGCUCGGAAUCACUGGGCGUAAAGCGCACGUAGGCGGACUCUUAAGUCGGUGGUGAAAUCCUGGAGCUCAACUCCAGAACUGCCUUCGAUACUGUUAGUCUUGAGUCCGGGAGAGGUGAGUGGAAUUCCUAGUGUAGAGGUGAAAUGCGCAGAUAUCAGGAGGAACACCAAUGGCGAAGGCAGCUCGCUGGAACGGUACUGACGCUGAGGCGCGAAAGCGUGGGGAGCAAACAGG
rnacentral:rRNA from 1 species